rnacentral:rRNA from 1 species
UACAGAGGUCUCAAGCGUUGUUCGGAUUCAUUGGGCGUAAAGGGUGCGUAGGUGGCGCGGUAAGUCGGGUGUGAAAUUUCGGAGCUUAACUCCGAAACUGCAUUCGAUAACUGCCGUGCUUGAGGACUGGAGAGGAGACUGGAAUUUACGGUGUAGCAGUGAAAUGCGUAGAGAUCGAUAAGGAAGACCAGUGGCGAAGGCGGGUCUCUGGACAGUUCCUGACACUGAGGCACGAAGGCCAGGGGAGCAAACGGG